ACCUAUGCAAUGGGCGAAAGCCUGACAGGGCUACUGUGAGUGAUUCCCGUUAAGGGAAUCCUUUGGCAUCUCUAAAAACGAUGCAGUAUAAGGGGUGGGCAAGUUUGGUGUCAGCCGCCGCGGUAAUUCCAGCACCCUGAGUGGUCGGGACGAUUAUUGGGCCUAAAGCAUCGGUAGCCGGUUUUACAAGUCCUCCGUUAAAUCCAGCUGCUUAUCGGAUGGGUUGCGGAAGAUACUACAAGACUAGGAGGCGGAAGAGGCAAGCGGUACUCAGUGGGUAGGGGUAAAAUCCUCUGAUCCAUUGAAGACCACCAGUGGGGAAGGCGGCUUCCCAGAACGCGCUCGACGGUGAGGGACGAAAGCUGGGGGAGCAAACCGGAUUAGAUACCCGGGUAGUCCCACCCGUAAACGAUGCAGACUCGGUGAUGGGCCGGCUUCAUGCCGGCUCAGUGCCGCAGGGAAGCCGUUAAGUUUGCCGCCUGGGGAGUACGGUCGCAAGACUGAAACUUAA
rnacentral:rRNA from 1 species